AUUGCAUUCUGGCGGCAGGCCUAACACAUGCAAGUCGAACGGUAACAGGAAGCAGCUUGCUGCUUCGCUGACGAGUGGCGGACGGGUGAGUAAUGUCUGGGAAGCUGCCUGAUGGAGGGGGAUAACUACUGGAAACGGUAGCUAAUACCGCAUAAUGUCGCAAGACCAAAGAGGGGGACCUUCGGGCCUCUUGCCAUCGGAUGUGCCCAGAUGGGAUUAGCUUGUUGGUGGGGUAACGGCUCACCAAGGCGACGAUCCCUAGCUGGUCUGAGAGGAUGACCAGCCACACUGGAACUGAGACACGGUCCAGACCCCUACGGGAGGCAGCAGUGGGGAAUAUUGCACAAUGGGCGCAAGCCUGAUGCAGCCAUGCCGCGUGUAUGAAGAAGGCCUUCGGGUUGUAAAGUACUUUCAGCGGGGAGGAAGGGAGUAAAGUUAAUACCUUUGCUCAUUGACGUUACCCGCAGAGGAAGCACCGGCUAACUCCGUGCCAGCAGCCGCGGUAAUACGGAGGGUGCAAGCGUUAAUCGGAAUUACUGGGCGUAAAGCGCACGCAGGCGGUUUGUUAAGUCAGAUGUGAAAUCCCCGGGCUCAACCUGGGAACUGCAUCUGAUACUGGCAAGCUUGAGUCUCGUAGAGGGGGGUAGAAUUCCAGGUGUAGCGGUGAAAUGCGUAGAGAUCUGGAGGAAUACCGGUGGCGAAGGCGGCCCCCUGGACGAAGACUGACGCUCAGGUGCGAAAGCGUGGGGAGCAAACAGGAUUAGAUACCCUGGUAGUCCACGCCGUAAACGAUGUCGACUUGGAGGUUGUGCCCUUGAGGCGUGGCUUCCGGAGCUAACGCGUUAAGUCGACCGCCUGGGGAGUACGGCCGCAAGGUUAAAACUCAAAUGAAUUGACGGGGGCCCGCACAAGCGGUGGAGCAUGUGGUUUAAUUCGAUGCAACGCGAAGAACCUUACCUGGUCUUGACAUCCACGGAAGUUUUCAGAGAUGAGAAUGUGCCUUCGGGAACCGUGAGACAGGUGCUGCAUGGCUGUCGUCAGCUCGUGUUGUGAAAUGUUGGGUUAAGUCCCGCAACGAGCGCAACCCUUAUCCUUUGUUGCCAGCGGUCCGGCCGGGAACUCAAAGGAGACUGCCAGUGAUAAACUGGAGGAAGGUGGGGAUGACGUCAAGUCAUCAUGGCCCUUACGACCAGGGCUACACACGUGCUACAAUGGCGCAUACAAAGAGAAGCGACCUCGCGAGAGCAAGCGGACCUCAUAAAGUGCGUCGUAGUCCGGAUUGGAGUCUGCAACUCGACUCCAUGAAGUCGGAAUCGCUAGUAAUCGUGGAUCAGAAUGCCACGGUGAAUACGUUCCCGGGGCU
rnacentral:rRNA from 1 species